AACGUACUCAGUUCGGAUUGUAGUCUGCAACUCGACUACAUGAAGCUGGAAUCGCUAGUAAUCGCAGAUCAGAAUGCUGCGGUGAAUACGUUCCCGGGUCUUGUACACACCGCCCGUCACACCAUGGGAGUCGGAAAUGCCCGAAGCCGGUGACCCAACCAAAAGGAGGGAGCCGUCGAAGGCAGGUCUGAUAACUGGGGUGAAGUCGUAACAAGGUAGC
rnacentral:rRNA from 1 species